rnacentral:rRNA from 1 species
GACAGAGGGUGCAAACGUUGUUCGGAAUUACUGGGCGUAAAGCGAGUGUAGGCGGUUUGGCAAGUCGGAUGUGAAAGCCCCGGGCUCAACCCGGGAAGUGCACUCGAUACUCCCAAGCUAGAGUAUCGGAGAGGUUGGCGGAAUUCUCGGUGUAGAGGUGAAAUUCGUAGAUAUCGAGAGGAACACCGGCGGCGAAGGCGGCCUUCUGGACCAUUCUUGACGCUGAGACGCGAAAGCGUGGGGAGCAAACAGG